UCGGAUUGCAGGCUGAAACCCGCCUGUAUGAAGUUGGAAUCGCUAGUAAUCGCGGAUCAGCAUGCCGCAGUGAAUACGUUCCCGGGCCUUGUACACGCCGCCCGUCACACCAUGAGAGUCGGGAACACCCGAAGUCCGUAGCCUAACCGCAAGGGGGCGCGGCCGAAGGUGGGUUCGAUAAUUGGGGUGAAGUCGUAACAAGGUAUC
rnacentral:rRNA from 1 species